GACGAACGCUGGCGGCGUGCUUAACACAUGCAAGUCGAACGGAAAGGCCCUGCUUUUGUGGGGUGCUCGAGUGGCGAACGGGUGAGUAACACGUGAGUAACCUGCCCUUGACUUUGGGAUAACUUCAGGAAACUGGGUCUAAUACCGGAUAGGAGCUCCUGCUGCAUGGUGGGCGUUGGAAAGUUUCGGCGGUUGGGGAUGGACUCGCGGCUUAUCAGCUUGUUGGUGGGGUAGUGGCUGACCAAGGCUUGGACGGGUAGCCGGCCUGCGAGGGUGACCGGACACAUUGGGACUGAGAUACGGCCCAGACCCCAACGGGAGGCAGCAGUGGAGAAGAUUGCACAAUGGGCGGAAGCCUGAUGCAGCAACGCCGCGUGCGGGAUGACGGCCUUCGGGUUGUGAACCGCUGUCGCCUGUGACGAAGCGUGAGUGACGGUAAUGGGUAAAGAAGCACCGGCUAACUACGUG
rnacentral:rRNA from 1 species